rnacentral:rRNA from 1 species
CUGUCACUGACGCUGAGGCUNGAAAGCGUGGGUAGCGAACAGGAUUAGAUACCCUGGUAGUNCACGCCGUAAACGAUGAGUGCUAGGUGUUAGGCCCUUUCCGGGGCUUAGUGCCGGAGCUAACGCAAUAAGCACUCCGCCUGGGGAGUACGACCGCAAGGUUGAAACUCAAAGGAAUUGACGGGGGCCCGCACAAGCGGUGGAGCAUGUGGUUUAAUUCGAAGCAACGCGAAGAACCUUACCAGGUCUUGACAUCCCGAUGCUAUUCUUAGAGAUAGGAAGUUACUUCGGUACAUCGGAGACAGGUGGUGCAUGGUUGUCGUCAGCUCGUGUCGUGAGAUGUUGGGUUAAGUCCCGCAACGAGCGCAACCCUUAUUGUUAGUUGCCAUCAUUAAGUUGGGCACUCUAGCGAGACUGCCGGUAAUAAACCGGAGGAAGGUGGGGAUGACGUCAAAUCAUCAUGCCCCUUAUGACCUGGGCUACACACGUGCUACAAUGGUCGGUACAACGAGUUGCGAGCCGGUGACGGCAAGCUAAUCUCUGAAAGCCGAUCUCAGUUCGGAUUGGAGGCUGCAACUCGCCUCCAUGAAGUCGGAAUCGCUAGUAAUCGCGGAUCAGCACGCCGCGGUGAAUACGUUCCCGGGCCUUGUACACACCGCCCGUCACACCACGAGAGUUUGUAACACCCGAAGUCGGUGAGGUANCCUUUUAGGGGCCAGCCGCNUAA